AAUGAAAUAAAGGAUUGUUCCCCUUUUAUCUUAGAAUAGUAGAGUGCCACUAGCAUGACUAUGGCCGAUGGUGAUUGGGGCUAUGACGAUGCAGCCUUAGGAUCUUAGAUCGACGGUCGUCGAUGACCAUUCGUGUUGGAAAGAAAACUAAAGGAAGGGGCAGAAACACAACCUAAAAUAAGGGAAUGAUUUCUUAAGAUAAAUUCAACGAUUGCUGAUCGAAAAUCAAGAUUUAAAGGUUGAGGAAGAUGGCAAACUAAACUAACUCAAGAUAGGAGGAUUCUUACCUUAUUUCUGGUGAUAUUUGGGCUGAAAUUUGAGGAAUUAAGAAGAGGAAGAUGGGUCUUUCUUCCAGUGAAGAACGAUGGCCGGUAGUGGGGUUUUCACAAGGGUUUCAUCCCUUUAAAUAGAGACAGAGGAGGGUGGACUUAGACUUACUCUCGGCAUCUAAUUUUGACUCUGAUCCAGAGAAAAAUCAAUGGAAGAGGGAAGACUUUAUUGCAUGUCUUCUCUUUGUUUUUUAUUUUUUUUGCCUCUUCAAGAUUCGUGCACAGGGGUGAGAUAUCAUAAAGAUAUUAUAAAAAAUAUAGAUAAAUUUUUGCAACUUAUGCAGGAAUAUAGUAAUGCAAAAGGAAAUGGUAAUAGAUUUUGAAGUUACUUUUUCAUGCAUAAAAGAAUAUAGAUAAAUUAUUUUUUAUCUAAAUAUUAUCUGAAAAAUA
rnacentral:lncRNA from 1 species